CGACCCCAGGUCAGGCGGGACUACCC
rnacentral:ncRNA from 6 species